rnacentral:lncRNA from 1 species
UCUCCUCCACACAUUGCAGGCGAGAACGUGCGCGGGAGUAAUACAUACACGCGCACAUUGCCUUUAGCUACCGCUGUAGUAGUGAUCUGGCUGGAAGGCAGCCGCGCGCGCGGCAGGGGAAGCUAACUACUGACUGACAUCGCAAGGGGAGGGGGGAGAGAUACCGGCCGACCGACGGGGAGUAGGAGUGACCGAGAUGCUGGACUGGGCGCCGGUGGUGGUGGGGGUGGUGCUCUUCGUGCUGCUCUCGCCGGGCCUGCUCAUCGAGUUCCCCGGCACAACCCGGUGGGUCGACUUCGGCAGCCUCCGCGUCACCGGCAAGGCCGCCACCAUCCACACCCUCGUCUUCUUCACCCUCUUCGCCAUCAUCACCAUGGCAUGCAACCUCCACAUCUACGCCUAGACACGCCCAACCAGCAGCUAGCUGAUGAUCGUCGCGUCUACCUCUUCAUCGUCAUCGAUUCAUCACUACCGAACCAGUGUAUACUGUACAGUACCGCACUCUGCUCGGCUCAGUUGACGGCCGGGCAUCUGGUUAUGCGUAAAGCAUCUGUUCAUCUGUAAUCUGGUUGCUUUUACAAAGGGUGUGUAUUGUCAGAUAUACGGGCUUCGCUCGUAUAAAUAUUCUGAAUAAAUCUCUAAGAUCCAUUAGCGU